CGGGGGGAGCAAGCGUUGUUCGGAUUUACUGGGCGUAAAGGGCGCGUAGGCGGCCACCGCAAGUCGACUGUGAAAUCUCCGGGCUUAACCCGGAAAGGUCAGCCGAUACUGCGGGGCUAGAGUGCAGAAGGGGCAACUGGAAUUCUCGGUGUAGCGGUGAAAUGCGUAGAUAUCGAGAGGAACACCUGCGGCGAAGGCGGGUUGCUGGGCUGACACUGACGCCGAGGCGCGAAAGCUAGGGGAGCGAACGGGAUUAGAUACCCCGGUAGUCCUAGCCUUAAACGAUGAAUGCUUGGUGUCUGGGGUUUUAUAGUCCCCGGGUGCCGUCGCUAACGCUUUAAGCAUUCCGCCUGGGGAGUACGGUCGCAAGACUG
rnacentral:rRNA from 1 species